rnacentral:rRNA from 1 species
UACGGGGGGGGCAAGCGUUGUUCGGAACUACUGGGCGUAAAGGGCGCGUAGGCGGCCUGCUAAGUCGGACGUGAAAUCCCUCGGCUCAACCGAGGAACUGCGUCCGAUACUGGUGGGCUUGAAUCCGGGAGAGGGAUGUGGAAUUCCAGGUGUAGCGGUGAAAUGCGUAGAUAUCUGGAGGAACACCGGUGGCGAAGGCGGCAUCCUGGACCGGUAUUGACGCUGAGGCGCGAAAGCUAGGGGAGCAAACGGG